rnacentral:rRNA from 1 species
UACAGAGGGUGCGAGCGUUAAUCGGAGUGACUGGGCGUAAAGGGCACGUAGGCGGUUAUGUUAGUCUGAUGUGAAAGACCUGGGCUUAACCUGGGAUGUGCAUUGGAGACGGGAUAGCUAGAGUGUGGGAGAGGGAAGUGGAAUUUCCGGUGUAGCGGUGAAAUGCGUAGAGAUCGGAAAGAACACUGGUGGCGAAGGCGGCUUUCUGGCCCACAACUGACGCUGAGGUGCGAAAGCGUGGGGAGCAAACAGG